rnacentral:rRNA from 1 species
UACGUAGGGGGCUAGCGUUGUCUGGAAUCAUUGGGCGUAAAGAGCGUGUAGGCGGCCCGGUAAGUCCGCUGUGAAAGUCGGGGGCUCAACCCUCGAAUGCCGGUGGAUACUGUCGGGCUAGAGUGCGGAAGAGGCGAGUGGAAUUCCUGGUGUAGCGGUGAAAUGCGCAGAUAUCAGGAGGAACACCAAUGGCGAAGGCAGCUCGCUGGGACGUGACUGACGCUGAGACGCGAAAGCGUGGGGAGCAAACAGG